GACGAACGCUGGCGGCGUGCCUAAUACAUGCAAGUCGAGCGCAGGAAACUGACGGAACUCUUCGGAGGGAAGGCAGUGGAAUGAGCGGCGGACGGGUGAGUAACACGUAAGGAACCUGCCUCAAGGAUUGGGAUAACUCCGAGAAAUCGGAGCUAAUACCGGAUAGUUCAUCGGACCGCAUGGUCCGUUGAUGAAAGGCGCUCCGGCGUCACCUUGAGAUGGCCUUGCGGUGCAUUAGCUAGUUGGGGGGGUAACGGCCCACCAAGGCGACGAUGCAUAGCCGACCUGAGAGGGUGAGCGGCCACACUGGGACUGAGACACGGCCCAGACUCCUACGGGAGGCAGCAGUAGGGAAUCUUCCACAAUGGACGAAAGUCUGAUGGAGCAACGCCGCGUGAGUGAUGAAGGUUUUCGGAUCGUAAAACUCUGUUGUAAGGGAAGAACACGUACGAGAGGAAAUGCUCGUACCUUGACGGUACCUUACGAGAAAGCCACGGCUAACUACGUGCCAGCAGCCGCGGUAAAAC
rnacentral:rRNA from 1 species